UUAAGCGACUAAGCGUACACGGUGGAUGCCCUGGCAGUCAGAGGCGAUGAAGGGCGUGCUAAUCUGCGAUAAGCGCCGGUAAGGUGAUAUGAACCGUUAUAACCGGCGAUACCCGAAUGGGGAAACCCAGUGUGACUCGUCACACUAUCAUUAACUGAAUCCAUAGGUUAAUGAGGCGAACCGGGGGAACUGAAACAUCUAAGUACCCCGAGGAAAAGAAAUCAACCGAGAUUCCCCCAGUAGCGGCGAGCGAACGGGGAGGAGCCCAGAGCCUGAAUCAGCAUGUGUGUUAGUGGAAGCGUCUGGAAAGGCGCGCGAUACAGGGUGACAGCCCCGUACACAAAAGCGCAUAUGCUGUGAGCUCGAUGAGUAGGGCGGGACACGUGGUAUCCUGUCUGAAUAUGGGGGGACCAUCCUCCAAGGCUAAAUACUCCUGACUGACCGAUAGUGAACCAGUACCGUGAGGGAAAGGCGAAAAGAACCCCGGCGAGGGGAGUGAAAAAGAACCUGAAACCGUGUACGUACAAGCAGUGGGAGCACCCUUUGGGGUGUGACUGCGUACCUUUUGUAUAAUGGGUCAGCGACUUAUAUUCUGUAGCAAGGUUAACCGUAUAGGGGAGCCGUAGGGAAACCGAGUCUUAACCGGGCGUUAAGUUGCAGGGUAUAGACCCGAAACCCGGUGAUCUAGCCAUGGGCAGGUUGAAGGUUGGGUAACACUAACUGGAGGACCGAACCGACUAAUGUUGAAAAAUUAGCGGAUGACCUGUGGCUGGGGGUGAAAGGCCAAUCAAACCGGGAGAUAGCUGGUUCUCCCCGAAAGCUAUUUAGGUAGCGCCUCGUGAAUUCAUCUCCGGGGGUAGAGCACUGUUUCGGCUAGGGGGCCAUCCCGGCUUACCAACCCGAUGCAAACUGCGAAUACCGGAGAAUGUUAUCACGGGAGACACACGGCGGGUGCUAACGUCCGUCGUGAAGAGGGAAACAACCCAGACCGCCAGCUAAGGUCCCAAAGUCAUGGUUAAGUGGGAAACGAUGUGGGAAGGCCCAGACAGCCAGGAUGUUGGCUUAGAAGCAGCCAUCAUUUAAAGAAAGCGUAAUAGCUCACUGGUCGAGUCGGCCUGCGCGGAAGAUGUAACGGGGCUAAACCAUGCACCGAAGCUGCGGCAGCGACGCUUAUGCGUUGUUGGGUAGGGGAGCGUUCUGUAAGCCUGUGAAGGUGGCCUGUGAGGGUUGCUGGAGGUAUCAGAAGUGCGAAUGCUGACAUAAGUAACGAUAAAGCGGGUGAAAAGCCCGCUCGCCGGAAGACCAAGGGUUCCUGUCCAACGUUAAUCGGGGCAGGGUGAGUCGACCCCUAAGGCGAGGCCGAAAGGCGUAGUCGAUGGGAAACAGGUUAAUAUUCCUGUACUUGGUGUUACUGCGAAGGGGGGACGGAGAAGGCUAUGUUGGCCGGGCGACGGUUGUCCCGGUUUAAGCGUGUAGGUGUGUGUUCCAGGUAAAUCCGGUUCACUUUAACACUGAGGCGUGACGACGAGGCACUACGGUGCUGAAGCAACAAAUGCCCUGCUUCCAGGAAAAGCCUCUAAGCAUCAGGUAACAUCAAAUCGUACCCCAAACCGACACAGGUGGUCAGGUAGAGAAUACCAAGGCGCUUGAGAGAACUCGGGUGAAGGAACUAGGCAAAAUGGUGCCGUAACUUCGGGAGAAGGCACGCUGACACGUAGGUGAAGUGAUUUACUCACGGAGCUGAAGUCAGUCGAAGAUACCAGCUGGCUGCAACUGUUUAUUAAAAACACAGCACUGUGCAAACACGAAAGUGGACGUAUACGGUGUGACGCCUGCCCGGUGCCGGAAGGUUAAUUGAUGGGGUCAGCGCAAGCGAAGCUCCUGAUCGAAGCCCCGGUAAACGGCGGCCGUAACUAUAACGGUCCUAAGGUAGCGAAAUUCCUUGUCGGGUAAGUUCCGACCUGCACGAAUGGCGUAAUGAUGGCCAGGCUGUCUCCACCCGAGACUCAGUGAAAUUGAACUCGCUGUGAAGAUGCAGUGUACCCGCGGCAAGACGGAAAGACCCCGUGAACCUUUACUAUAGCUUGACACUGAACAUUGAGCCUUGAUGUGUAGGAUAGGUGGGAGGCUUUGAAGUGUGGACGCCAGUCUGCAUGGAGCCGACCUUGAAAUACCACCCUUUAAUGUUUGAUGUUCUAACGUGGACCCGUGAUCCGGGUUGCGGACAGUGUCUGGUGGGUAGUUUGACUGGGGCGGUCUCCUCCUAAAGAGUAACGGAGGAGCACGAAGGUUGGCUAAUCCUGGUCGGACAUCAGGAGGUUAGUGCAAUGGCAUAAGCCAGCUUGACUGCGAGCGUGACGGCGCGAGCAGGUGCGAAAGCAGGUCAUAGUGAUCCGGUGGUUCUGAAUGGAAGGGCCAUCGCUCAACGGAUAAAAGGUACUCCGGGGAUAACAGGCUGAUACCGCCCAAGAGUUCAUAUCGACGGCGGUGUUUGGCACCUCGAUGUCGGCUCAUCACAUCCUGGGGCUGAAGUAGGUCCCAAGGGUAUGGCUGUUCGCCAUUUAAAGUGGUACGCGAGCUGGGUUUAGAACGUCGUGAGACAGUUCGGUCCCUAUCUGCCGUGGGCGCUGGAGAACUGAGGGGGGCUGCUCCUAGUACGAGAGGACCGGAGUGGACGCAUCACUGGUGUUCGGGUUGUCAUGCCAAUGGCACUGCCCGGUAGCUAAAUGCGGAAGAGAUAAGUGCUGAAAGCAUCUAAGCACGAAACUUGCCCCGAGAUGAGUUCUCCCUGAGACUUAGAGUCUCCUGAAGGAACGUUGAAGACGACGACGUUGAUAGGCCGGGUGUGUAAGCGCAGCGAUGCGUUGAGCUAACCGGUACUAAUGAACCGUGAGGCUUAACCUU
rnacentral:rRNA from 1 species